ACAUUAUUAAUUGGAUAUUCAUUAACUUUUGAAUGAGAAGGUAGCAAUCGAGCAGUUAUAGAACAUUCUUUGCUUUCACCAGGUUUUGAAAGGUCAGAAUAAUGAUCAAAUUGCUGUGACUAGAAUACUGAUAAGGACGAUUUUUAAGCUGAAAUUAGAUAAACAGAGGUGAGAGCAUGAUAGAAAAACGAAUAAAUUGUUUCGAAAUUUAUUUUUACGCAAGAAGUGACGUUGUUGUACUAAGGAUUACUCACUUGGCAACUUUCUAGUCAGAAUCUGGUAGUAGGUAGAGUAACAUUACAAGUCAUCUGAUUCUUCCGGAAUAACCUCGUGACCGAAAAAUGAUAAACGAAAACAAUGCUGUGAUCUGACCGCGCCUUUUAUCAAAUCGUCGAGAUUAAAACCCCUCUUUAAAUACAAUUAACUGAAAUACCUGUUGCUUUCAAAUCUGAAUAUUUUUGUGCAGAUUAAUAAUAAAAAAUUAAAAGAUGGGAGCUGGUAAAGGAAAUGCAGUAGGGAUAAUAUGGUUUUUAGUUUGGCUUGUUAUUCUAGUGUUCGUUGCCUUUAUUGUUGCUGGAUUUUGCGCAGCCUGGUACAUUUUAUUGAGUUGCCUAACACCAUGUAUACCAGCUCUGACAUCCGUUACAGAUUUCUUGAUGAAGGGAGUCAUGUUUGUUAAUUAUUGUUCAAAAAAUAUGAUGGACAUGCGACCACUCUGUUAAUUACAUUUGUUUUAUCAUACAAUGACUGCUAGAUCAACAAAACUGCCACCUGUACAUAUAUAGUUUUUUAACUGUCUGUAAUUGUAACAAAAUAAAAAUGCUACUUUGUAUUUU